CCCUGUGUUGGACAGAAGGAAGCGAAACCUGCUCAGAGUACAUACAGCAAUUUUCUCCUAGUUGCCAGGCUCACAGAAACUUUCCCGUACACAAACGAACAUUAUGUUAUACUGAUGUCAACAGAGAGUUCACAGCAAAGGAAAGGCGAUGUGUAAGCAGAAUGGAACUUGGAAAUUAACCUGGCCAGCAAAUACACAAGGAGGCCUUGGGAACUAAAUUGCUCAACAUUUAAAACCAACAGACGGGUUCAGAUUGCAGAGUGAACAGAACUGAAGAGAAAAGUGGUGAAGCCGGAAUGGGAAUCCUCUUGCACUUAUGGGACCUAAAGAGAUGAGAUGGAGACUUGGCACGUUAAGGGCUGAGAUGGGAAGUGUGUCUGGAGUUUUAGAGGAUGGGGUGGGGUGAAGAAACAAAGAUGGGAGCAGCAGACAUGAAACAAGAUAAAACCCAAGCAUUGAAUUGCAUGACCAACUGUGAUGGUCAUGGGUCAGAAUGCUUGAGAAAAUAUCCAUGACCAAAUGAACACAUCAUGGUACUAAGACAACGCGAGGGGAGGGGGUGGGACAGGAGAAUUGAGAAGAGCAUGCAAACAGGAAGAAGCACAAUAAGCGUGAGAACACCUCUCACUGACAGUAUGCAUGUAAAAGAGCAACGGGACCACAAAAUCUGUGGAGGUGGGAAAGACACUGGGCCUGGUGCUAUGUAUGUAUCCAUCAAAAUGAUCAAAUGUGUGGCUGAAAAGUUAUUUUGGUCAUCAUGGGUUCAGAGCUCAUCAUUUCCUGGCUUACACACACACACACACACACACACACAUACACACACACACACACACACACACACACACACACACACACACACACACACCACUAAAGGUCAUUAUUUAAAAGCAAAGAGAAGUCAAGGAAACGCUCUGUUGCACACACCUGUGCUUUACAGACAGCAAAGGAAGCAACCCCCUGUACAUUCACCAGCAGAGUGGUGGCUGAGGAGGCCUGCAGGGAGUUCUUUUAGAGGCUGAUGGCUAGGCUGUUGCAGUGUUUAUAAAAGGUCUCUUAGUCUCGAGUGGUCUUGCAGGUCGACUGUAUGUAUGAAAGUGUAGAGUAGACUUGUUUCUUUUGCACCCUGGGGCAUUAUGGCUACCUGGGGGAAGGAGGAUUAGAGAGACAGCUCCCUGGUUAAGACGGCAUACUGCUCUUGCAGAGGACCUCAGUUCAGUUCCCAGUACCCACAUCAGAUGGUUUACACAAGUGCCUGAAACUCCAGCUCCAGGGGAUCUCAUGUUCUCUUUGGCUCCCAAGAGCAAGUGCACUCACGAACACACACACACACACACACACACACACACACACACACACACACACACACGAUUAAAAUUAAAAAAUCUGGGGGAAAAUGUAUGGCUGCCUAUUUGGAAUUGUCACCCCUUCCCUGAUUAGAUGUUUACUGUCCCUUCAAUUCACUUGGGGGCACCUAGAAAUGAGACUGGAAUAUUUGUCUUUCCUAAGACAUAAGUUGUAGCUUGCAACAAAUAUAUUUCAAUGAUUUUUCUUAUUAGAAAAAGCACAGAGGCAGACUUGAUUGCUAAGGACCAUAGGUUCAUACCCUAUUGAAGAGAGAGAAGCAUGGAUUGGGCAUCUUAAGGCACCCAGUGGCUUGGCAUCCCAGGCAUGGUCAGCCUGCUGGAUGGAGGAGGGAGGCUAGUCAUAAAGAGGCCUUGGCAGACUUGGAGGUCAUUUUGGGAGGCUAUAGCUUCUGGACGACCAGGGCUGAUCCACAGCAUGCCCCUCUGGCAGCCUUCCUGGGCGGGGCUUGGAAAGGAGGGUGGUUUAGCUGCAUGUCCAGCUGCUAAGGUACCAGCAAGGGUACAGUCAGUCAUCUUGGAUGCUGUGGGAAGCUUAUCCACAGAGCAGGAUUCAGAAACAAUUAAAUUUUUUAUUAAAAUAAUUCUUCACCUUCAUUAUUUUUGUCCUCUGCCUACUGCUGUGCUUGGGAAAGCCAAGUGGGGCUAUGUUUCCUUCUUGAGUUUGUGAUUCCCUGGUGGUUUCUGCAGUUCAUAGCUGGUCCCGGUUCUUGCUUAACGGAUUCCCAUUUUAUCCUUUUUCAUCUCGCCAUUUGCUCCUCAUUGUCCCCACCUCUCCAGACCUGCGGGAGAGCAGACACUGUGCUCAUGUGAUUGUGUUCCAAGUUGUACCAUGAACCUGGCCAACAUUUUUCAGUCCUUUUAUUGUAAUCCUGGGAGUACACUGUGGAAGGAGGCCCUCAGAGUCAUGAUGUCUUGGCUCCUGGCUCCAGGCAGAAUCAAAUUGAAAGCAAUUUCCUCAGCUAAUCAUUUUUGCUUUUUUGCUUUUUAAAUACUCCUAAGGAAACAGUUGCUGCAGUGCCCGCCAGGAAAGCUUGCCUGCAUUUCUUGCUAUUAAUCAAGAAAUGGCAUGCCUCCCCUGAAGACCCACUAUGACUUAGGACAGGACCAGUAUCAGGGUUUUCCUAUCCAUCCGAGAGCUCUGAUGGCAUGCACAUAGUCUCCUGCCAUCUUUGCCCUCUUGGUUCUUGAAGCUGUUAUAGAGUGUUUUUUUUUUUUGGUUACACAUUAAUGUCAAAUUCAGUCCUCAGAUGUUUUAGCCAUGCUUUAUGUGCCUUAUCCCCAUUGCAAAGCCUCUGAACACAAUUAGAAAAAACUAUGGGAGGUCCAUGGUAGUGGUUGAGGCUUGUAAAGUGGAGUUGGAAGAUGAAGAGAGCUUUUACAUAACUCUACCUACCUUUUAGGAUGGAUACCCAGAAGUACCAGUCUCCAAAUGCAUGUCCCCAACACAUCCCUUCCAAUGUACGUGGGUGAUGGUCCAAUUCCAGAGGGUGCAGCUCUUCAAGCCUGGCUUGACAGCAAGACAGAUGAUUUCUACUGGUAUUUAAUUUUUUCCCCUAAAAUAAAAAAGGUUGAAGACAGGUAUGGCUGGUGUUCCUGAGACCCAAAUACUUGAGUCCCAGCUUCCUAAACACUGCCUCCUUCUUCCCCUUGCCUGCCUAGAGAGCUAGGAACAGUGUCUGUACUCUGAACACCAACCAUACGACUGACAAUAAAACCAGCAAAGAUUUGAACAUGACCCACACAUUUGGCUUGCCCAAACACCUCUAAAUGUUGAGGAAGACUUGCAACUUGAAAAUAUAGAGGACCUUAAGGACAGACCCAGACUGUAGCUGCCACCAGGUCCAGUUUCCCAGGUGUCUUUCUGUCUUCACUGACCCGCUAUGUUGGGGUCUUCAGCAACAUGCAGUACAACUGGGCCUAGAAUUUGACAUUCUUCUGAGUCUGUAUUGUAAUUUUUUUUCUUCUUAUAACUUCAUGCUUUUCCUGAAACUCAUCCACCAGGCCACAACUCAGUUGUUGGCUAAAGAAUUAGAAUUAUAGAACUACAAUUAUAUAUCAGUAUAAAAUGAUUUUAUGGGUUUGGGAUCACCCGGGAGCACCUCUGGAACCACUCCAUGGUCAUGGUUGCAGCACCCUGUGUCUGAUGCUUGACCCUCCACCAUUAGAGAUUCAUUCUUUUGUGGAGGCUGGUGUCUUCAUUGGAUGCAGACCCGUCAACAGCAAAUGGGAACAGCUCACAAAUGGGAAGGAUUGUUCCCCCAAGAGUCACGCAACCUUGGUGAUGAUGAGACAGAGGAGAAGCCAUGACGGGGAUGUUGGAAAUUGUAAUGAGGAUAGUUUUGGGACUUAAGAGAUGGUCCCCUUUCUGUUACAGAUAUUCCAUAAAUGCUGUCACCUGCCAAGCUGGAUGUAGAACACAAAAUGUAACCCAGGUACAUUGGUGGGAAAUACCCUGCACAAGACCUGAGCAAGCCAGAAACCCAGAGGGAAAGGACUGGGCACAUGCACAAGCCGCCAGAGGAGGCCCCAGGGCUCUAGCUCCUGCAUGACUGAGUCUGAGAUCUGGUGAGAACCAGGCCUCCCAAUCCUCAACCUGAAGCUUCUUUCUCCAAGAAUUGUCCUGUAUGAUCACAUAGUAGUUACUUUUCUCAUGGCUGUGACAAAACACUUGACAAAGUCAGCUUAAGGAAGGGCUUUGAGGAGGAUGUGGUCCGUCAUGGGGACGAGGAUGGGGCAGGAGGGAGCGUCAGGCGGCGGGUCACAUCGCCUCCACGCUCGGGAGAGAGGCGUGGAUGCCAGCGCUUUAGUUGGUUUCCUCCUUUGUCUUUGUCCAUUCAGUCUGGGGCCCCAGCCAGUAGAUGGUGAUACUCACAUUCAGGGUAGGACUUCUUGUAAGCCUCCCUAAAAACAGCCUCACAGACACACCCGGAGGUGGGUCUCUUGGGUGACUCCAAAUGUAGUCAAGUUGACAACGUAGAUGAACCAUUAAAGGCGCUUUUGUGUGGGGCUGAAAGAGGAAGGAGUUUGUAUUGGUAUUAGAAGACAGGAGAGAGAGAGAGAGAGAGGGGAGAGAGAGGAGAGAGAGAGAGAAGCAGAAGCCACAAUGUGCUCUGUCUUCUGGACAUUAGGAUGGCUUUGGGGCAGAAACAGGAUGAAAUGGGUGUUCCUGCAAGAGACUUACUGAGACUCUGAACACAGGGGUGGGUGCUGGUGGCUCACAACCCACCCACAUUUCUGCACAGCAUUCAGAAGCCCUGGGCACAGCCCUCCCUAUUCUCAUGGGGGACAUUGUCAAUGCAGAUGGCAGCAAGGCAGCUUAAGUUUACCAGAAGAUGACCCAGGGGAGCUCCAGUGAAGGCUUAUUGUGAAUAUGCAUGAUGUGGGUCUCCUAGAAAUCUCCGGGAGGACUUGCUGGCAUCCCAUCAGAAGAGGGAUCUAGGGAGGACCCCAGGGCAUUGCUACUGAGUGUGAUAUAGGCAUAGUCUCCUAGUGACAUCAUCAGAUCACUACCUGAAAUACUGUACAAAAACCACCCACAGGCUCAUUGGUCCACUCACUUGACAUCUCACACACCCAAAUGCAGGCUGUGGUUCUACAGGUGUGGCAAGAUUGAGAAAGGGGAGAGGCAAGAAUGGCUUCAAGGACCCACUACACAAUCAAGAGAAGGAAGAGAAAAGGUUCCUCUUUGUCCUGAUUGAUGUGAGACUAAAGGAGAAAUAAGGGAGGGGGCAAGAUUUGAACUCAGAGUCUUUCAGUGGGAAACUGUGACUUGAAUGGUCCAAGGCGUGGUUCAUGGACCAGGUUCAGAUACUGAGUUUAGUGAAUCUCAGUGUAGCAUAAGAUAGCCUGCAAGGGCUGACAUUAGAUUAGUGAAGAGGGGACAGAGGAGAAGAAUAUGGGGCAGGAGAGGAAAAGAAGAGGGAGAUGAGAGAAGAAAUAAGGAAAACAACAGAUCAUCUUUGCAUGCAAUUUGUCCUGACGUCACCACCCUCAGUUCUUCCACGACCCUCUUGCCCAUGUGCUGGAUCCUGUCUUCCUUCCUGAGCAAGCUCCAUUUUCAAGAUCCACUAGCUAAGUUCUGGUGUCACGGAAUGGGCAUUGUAUAAGCUGAACUUUUCCAGCAGUUAAAAAACAGUGUCUUCCAUACCUGCAAAGAUAUUAUGCAACCCGAGUGACACCCUUGAGAGAACUUCCUAAGCAGAUGUGACAGACAGCGCUGAGGGCGGGAAUAUAGGUUGAGAGGUGUCAGUUGGGUGCCGUUGCGCUUGUCUAUAGCCAUUCCCAAGUUGACAGGUCCUCUGGCCUCGGGGGUGGCGUGUACUCUUUGCACUUGUCCCUGUACCCAAGAGUCCAAGAGCAGAUUCAGCUUUGCUGAUGUCCCCCCAGCUGUGUGCUGUGUGUUACCACUCUCAUUUAUUAGGGGUUAGAGUGAGCUUGUUUGGGGUUAUGUGCUUCCUAGCAGGCCCAGACAGUAAGCUUUACUGGUCCUCUGCUCCCUUUUGCAGACAAGCAUGGGGUUACUUCAGGAUGUUAAGUGAUGUGUCCAAGGUCACAGAGCCCAAAUUUAAGACCAAAGAGGGUCUGUGACCCUCUACUGGUGGUGUCAAAGAAAACAAGGUCAUGUGAAAUUCAGUCGCUGAAUUUGUGACCUGGUCCUUUAGCUCAAGCCUCUCAGCUUUUCUCAGCCAUCUGCCCUUGACAUACACAAUAAGGGUUGGCAUUGGAAGUUGAGGCUGCCAAGAGCAUCUGGUGGGGCAGUGAUUGGGCCCAUACAUCACAGAGUCCUAUUGUGCACACCUCACACUAAGGACACCAGGUACUCUCUUCCUUUAUGACACCCCGGGAGGAAGAAUCUGAGCCACGAAAAACAGAUCUACCCGAAAAACAUCCACCCCAGGAGAAGAGAGUCCUCGACCAUGGCGAGCCACAGCUGCAUUCGGAUCACACGGACACUGAUCACAGAAGGUCUUGGAGACACUGAAACCGUUCCUGUUAUCCAGCGUUCGGGAGCACUCCGGCCACUGGAAAGAUGGUCACUGAGAAGCACCACAGGUCUCAGUGACUCUCCUGGAUUUUCUUAGCACUGAAAGGCUCAUGCUAUGGCACACCUUUCUGACAGGACUGUGACUUCGCUGUCGUAGAUCUGCCUCAAGACCCUGAUCUCAAUUUUAGAUGCAACGGAUGUUUUUGCACAUGACAUCAGGGCAGAUGAGGGAAGGAAGGUGGAGUUUUUGUCUUACGAGGAUUCAGGCUAUACCUCUAGAUAACAAUUUGGUUAACAUUUGACAAUAUAUACUAAGACAAUACUACUUUUGGGAACCCAUCACAUGGAAAUAAAGGCUCUCAUUCACAAGGUAUGUGUAAAAGAACAUUUACUAUAAGUUUCUCAGAGUGACAGGAAACUGAGAACAACUUGAAAGUCUCUUAAUAAAGGGUUGCUUUUUUUUUUAAAAAAAAAAGUGGGGUUCAUCCAUGCAAGAUGUUUAUAGUUUUACAAAUUAGCUUGGCUAAACAUAACCUGGAAAGAUGCUUGUUUAAUAAAGGAAACAAUUUUCAAAUGA